UUAUAGUUAGUGUAAUAAGCAUAUAAAAUUUUCUAUUUUAAGGUGCCUUGGCACUAUAAA
rnacentral:tRNA from 1 species